GCCAGCAGCCAUAUCACCCUGCAACUCACAACUGGUAACCCACUGAAGCUAAGCACGUGUGAGCCUGGUCAGUACCUGGAUGGGAGACCUCCUGGGAAAAACUAAGGUUGCUGCUGGAA
ensembl:rRNA 5S_rRNA 5S ribosomal RNA